rnacentral:rRNA from 1 species
AUUGAACGCUGGCGGCAGGCCUAACACAUGCAAGUCGAACGAGUGGCGGACGGGUGAGUAAUGUCUGGGAAACUGCCCGAUGGAGGGGGAUAACUACUGGAAACGGUAGCUAAUACCGCAUACCAUCGGAUGUGCCCAGAUGGGAUUAGCUAGUAGGGGGGGUAACGGCUCACCUAGGCGACGAUCCCUAGCUGGUCUGAGAGGAUGACCCGCCACACUGUAACUGAGACACGGUCCAGACUCCUACGUGAGGCAGCAGUGGGGAAUAUAGCACAAUGGGCGCAAGCCGGAUGCAGUCAUGCCGCGUGUAUGAAGAAGGCCUUCGGGUUGUAAAGUACGUUCAGCGGGGAGGCGUUACCUGCAGAAGAAGCACCGGCUAACUCCGUGCCAGCAGCCGCGGUAAUAC